AAAAUUUGAGAGUUUGAUCCUGGCUCAGGAUGAACGCUGGCGGUAUGCCUAACACAUGCAAGUUGAACGAAUUUUUUUUUAUUUUAGUAGCGAACGGGUGAGUAAUACAUGAGAAUUUACCUCUGGGAGGAGAAUAAUUACUGAGAAUGGUAUCUAAAUCUCCAUAAGAUCACUAAUUAUUAGUGAUGAAAUAGUAAAAGAUCAUAGCUAUUUUAUUUACUGCCCAAAGAUAAGCUCAUGCCUGAUUAGCUAGUUGGUAAGUUAAUAGCUUACCAAGGUAUUGAUCAGUAGCUGGUUUGAGAGAAUGGUCAGCCACACUGGGACUGAGACACGGCCCAGACUCCCUUGGGAGGCAGCAGUGAGGAAUUUUCCGCAAUGGGCAAAAAAGCCUGACGGAGCAAUACCGCGUGAGGGAAGAAGAAUUAUGGUUUGUAAACCUCUUUUCUCGAGAAAGAAUCCAUGACGGUACUUGAGGAAUAAGCAUCGGCUAACUCCGUGCCAGCAGCCGCGGUAAUACGGGGGAUGCAAGCGUUAUCCGGAAUUAUUGGGCGUAAAGGGCCUGUAGGUUGCUUAUUAAGUUUGUAGUUAAAGACUAGGGCUCAACCUUAGGAAAGCUAUAAAUACUAAUUAGCUAGAGUAUGGAAGGGGUAGGGGGAAUUUCUAGUGUAGUAGUAAAAUGCUCUGAUAUUAGAAGGAACGCCAGAGGCGAAGGCGCUCUACUGGAACAUUACUGACACUAUAAGGCGAAAGCUAGGGGAGCGAAAGGGAUUAGGUACCCCUGUAGUCCUAGCCGUAAACGAUGAAUACUCAGAAUCGGAAAAGCGUAUCUUUUUCGGAUUUCAAGCUAACGCAUUAAGUAUUCCGCCUGGGGAGUACGCUCGCAAGUGUGAAACUCAAAGGAAUUGACGGGGGCCCACACAAGCGGUGGAGCAUGUGGUUUAAUUCGAUGCAACGCGAAGAACCUUACCAGGGCUUUUAUCUAUUUAGUUUUAGGAAAUUAAAAUUUGGUGAAGUAGAAAUAGGUGGUGCAUGGCUGUCGCCAGCUCGUGUCGUGAGAUGUUGGGUUAAUUCCCUUAACGAGCGCAACCCUUGUUUGGUCAGUUGUUAUGGAUUUCUGAGAAGACUGCCGAUGAGAAAUCGGAGGAAGGUAAGGAUGACGUCAAGUCAGUAUGCCCCGUAUGUCCUGGGCUACACACGUGCUACAAUGGUUAAGACAAAGAGCCGCUUACUUGUAAAAGAUAAAAAGACUAAAAUAAUUUUAUUUAUUUUAGUAAGGGCAAAUCUCCAAACUUAAUCUAAGUUCAGAUUGUAGGCUGCAACUCGUCUACAUGAAGUUGGAAUCGCUAGUAAUCGCUGGUCAGCAGUACAGCGGUGAAUUCGUCCCUGGGCCUUGUACACACCGCCCGUCACACCAUGGAAGUUGGUCAGGCUGGAAACUAAUAUUAAAUUAGUAGUUAAGGUGGGGCAAGCGACUGGGGUGAAGUCGUAACAAGGUAGCCGUACUGGAAGGUGCGGCUGGAUCACCUAUUAG
rnacentral:rRNA from 1 species